rnacentral:sRNA from 1 species
AUAAAAGUUUUCUAGGGUUCCGUAGCUACUGCUAGUCUGGACCGAGAGAAAACCACAAAUUCAUCUUCAUUUUUUGUGACACGGAAGGAUAAAAGCCUGGGAGAU